AUUGAACGCUGGCGGCGUGCCUAAUACAUGCAAGUCGAACGGAGUGGCGCACGGGCGGGUAAGGUAUAGCUAAUCUGCCCUACACUAGAGGACAACAGCUGGAAACGACUGCUGAUACUCUAGUGUAGGAUGAGUCUAUAUGGUAUGAGCUAGUUGGUGGGGUAACGGCUCACCAAGGCUAUGACGCAUAACUGGUCUGAGAGGAUGACCGGCCACACUGGAACUGAGACACGGCCCAGACUCCUACGGGAGGCAGCAGUGGGGAAUAUUGCGCAAUGGACGCAAGCCUGACGGAGCCACGCCGCGUGAGUGAAGAAGGCUUUCGGGUCGUAAAGCACUGUUGGUAGGGAGGCGGUAUCUAACGAGAAAGCCACGGCUAACUACGUGCCAGCAGCCGCGGUAAUUC
rnacentral:rRNA from 1 species